AAAACGUAACAAAAUGUUGAAAAUGUGAGGGGGUCUGAAUUCUUUCCAAAUGCACUGUACUUCUAUGGAUCAACCAACUAUCCAACAAUGGAGCCUUAUUCCAGGCCAACUGUACUGUCUGGCAUUCCUGCCCAUCCUCUCCUCCAUCCCUUCGCUGGAGCCGUUUGCCUGUAAAUUCUACAGCAGUGACUUCCAUGGAGGAAAAGGGAGGGCUGUGGGUGUCUACUGAGACAAUACAAGGAAGAGGAACGUGCCAACUGCACAGAAAAACAGAUGAAAUGCACAGCUCAAUUCGCUAGAGUACAAACUGAGAGUCAACCAGUCAUUCUUAACAUCUCAUAUGCCCCUGUAGGUGUGAAGGUGAUGGUGGAUGAACUGCCAGUCAGUGAAGGUCAUAGUGUCAACCUGGAGUGUGUUGCUGACAGCAACCCCCAGCCAGGCAGGUAUAUCUGAAUCAGACGACAGGGAGGCCAAAGCAUCCAAAUGAAUUCAACUCAGGGCAAAAUGUCCUAUCCCAGUAACUCACUGGCCACUGACAUCUAGCAGCUGCCCCUUGACACAAAAUUCACAGCUGGACAGUUUCUGCCAUGGAUGCUGACUGCUCUGGCAGUUGUAAGUGUCUUUCUGUGGGGAGCUGUAAUGUUUGUACGCAGAAUACGUUGCAGAGAGAGGUUUGUAUGGUUCUUGAUGAUGAUGAUGUCACAUAUUAAACCAUAUUAGGGGUGUCAUUUUGAAUGACGUCUCCCUUCUACAUUAUCUGUAGACCAAAGGCCAGCUCUAAUCUCUCCACUUUGGAUAUCCCUCUAAGGUGCUCUCAUUUUUGCAUCUGUAUUUUACAUACAACAAAUAAUAAUGUUCAAGCUCAUUGAGAUGUUUUUGUCUUUAAGGCAACCUGUCCCUAAGGUACAGCAAUCCCCAAAAGUAACAUAGGAUAACCCUUUGAAGAACCCGUUUUGGUUCCUAGUAGUACUCUUUUAGUUCCAGGUAGAACCCUUUUGGGUUCCAUCCAGGUAGUACCCUUUCUACAGAAGGUUCUAUAUAGAACCCAAAAGGAUUCUACCUGGAACCCCAAAUUUGACAUCUGCUCCUGCCAUGCCCUCUACUGCUCAUCCGGUGUCUCCUUGACCUGCCUCCACUCCCCCAGUGCUCUUUCCUUUUCUGUGUGUGUGUGUGAUUGUGUGGGCAGAGACAGGUGUGCUGGAGUCAGAGCAGAUUCCCACCAGCUGCAACCUGUUCCAUAAUCAAGACCUCUACAAAUACUCAGCCCUGCCACUUCCACGCCGUCAGAUCGUAAUCUCUGCUCAGUCAGUCUAUGUUCCUUUUUAGAUCCUGUUGUCCUGCUGUGCCUGUCUUCCCUUGACUGAGGCUGUUUUCCUCUCUACUACAGUUCUGCCCACUCUGACUCUGGUCCCUGUCUCCAGUCCUACUUCUCGUCAGUCCUGCUACUCUGUCCUGGAUCCCCCACUCUACGGCUCCCUUGGAUUCCCCUCUGGAUCUGCUUACCCUGUCCCAACAUGUCUCGCUCCAGCCUCGGCCUCCGCACCUGGUUUACUGCAACCUGCCUUAGCUCCCCCUGGCCUGCCCUCAAUCUUCCCCCUGUGUUUUAAUAAAUACCUUGGUCACCUCAUCCCAGUCACCUGUUCACCUGGGUUCACCUGUUCUGCUUCGCGUGACACAAAAGGGUUCUAACUGGAACCAAAAAGGGUUCUCCUAUGGGGACAGCUGAAUAACCCUUUGGAACCCUUUUUCUAAGAGUGUAUGUAGCACCUUAAUUAACCCCCUAGUCAAAGGGACACCUUAUGGUGACAGUUAUGCAAAACUUCAAUGAUUUAGGCCCAGUGAUGGCUGUUACACUUGGUUUAUUACACCGUUGCUUAUCUCAUUAUAUACAAACCACCCAUUCAUUGACUGCUUACUUGUUCUGAUAAAAUGAGCUAGAGAGAACAUUUUUUUCAAAUUAAAUUAGGAGCAUGUAAUUUGAAAGAGGUGGACAGUCCUCCCCAACCAAGCUGAGGAGAGAAGUGACUUUAAUCUGCACAAAUAACUUUCCGUGAAGCCUGUGUAGCGGAUAGCCUUGGACUUUCCACCAUAUCCUCUGUUUGAUGAACUGUUGAUAGCGUGAGUAAUACUUCAAUGACUGUUCAUUAUUGUUAUUUAAGCGUUGGUCCUGACAGCGCACUGCAAAUUUAUGUUAUUAGAUAGCCUAAUACUGGGAGCUGAUGCAAUCAUCUCAAAAAACAAUCUAAACAAUCUACAUUAUACCAUGAUGCUUUUGUUUUCGACAUGGCGGAGCUUGGGUUUGAACUAUAAAAAAUGGAAUAGGAGAUGAUUUCAUGGAUGGUUUCAUUUUCAUUUCAAACUUUCCUCAGCAAGCUGCAUCCAUUACAUCAUCAUUUGAGAUAAUGGUUGAUCUUAAUUUAGAGUUGACUAUUUUUCAGCUAAAACCGUGUGCUAUAUGAUCAAAUAUAGAUGAUAGUUGUUGUCAUUCUCUGCUCGUCCUCAGUUGAAAGCCAUGGUGGUGAGGAGUGGAGUGAUUCUGUCUGUCUACAUCAUCACCUUCCUGAUUGGCCUGCCUGGCAACAUCCUGGCACUUUACGCCUUCAGCGUCAAGAUCCACAAAAAGCCCACUCCCACAGACAUCCUCCUGCUCAACCUGACUGUGUCCGACCUUAUCUUCCUGCUCUUCCUGCCCAUCAAGAUGCACGAGGCAGCCUCCGGCAUGGUCUGGACUCUCCCCAGGCUUCUCUGCAACGUUACCUCUUUCGUCUUCUUCUCCACCAUCUACACCAGCUCCCUCCUGCUGAUGGUGGUCAGUGUUGACCGCUACCUGUGUGUGGCCUUCCCUGUCCAGUACAGGCUCCGCCGCAAGCCAUUGUACGGAGUGGUGAGCAGCCUGGGGGUGUGGGUCUUCAGCUCGGUCCACCUCUGCUUCAUCUACAUCGUGGAGAACCAGACCUCAUCUGAUUUAUAUUCCUGCUAUGACAACUUCACACAGGAGCAGCUGAAGGUGGUGCUUCCCAUGCGCUUGGAGCUGUGUGUGGUUCUAUACAUCGUGCCACUGCUGGUCUGUGUGUUCUGCUACCUGAACUUCAUCCUCAUCCUCAAUAGGACCCCUAACCUUUGUGCAGAGAAAAGGAAGAGAGCCGUCGGAAUGGCUGUGGGGACCUUGCUUGUUUUUGUUGUCUGCUUCCUGCCCUAUAAUGUCACCCAUGUACAGGGGUUCAUCAUCCAAGACAACGUGGAGUGGCGGCUCUAUGCUCUGCUCCUGACCACGGUCAACACCGUCCUGGAUCCUGUGACGUUCUACUUCUCCUCCUCCAUGUUCCAGGCCACCAUGAAGAGGAUCCUAACUGGGAAGCGAAGGAACAGCACCCCUGGUGUCUUCAUGACAGCUCAAAACAACACUAGAGACAUAGAGGGACACAGUAACCCAGCCACAACUGAGGGAGGUUUGUCUGACAAGUGACAGAGCUUUUGAUGACAAUUGAAGACUUCCUAAUAUGGAUGCCAUAUUACGGGGCAGACAGUCACCAGUUCACAGCCAACGAUGUAGACAAGAGAGAGACCUGCCAGCAGCAUACCUGCCAGCAGAAUACCAACCUACAUCCCACUGCUCACUUAAUUAUGAAGCUAAGCAGGGUUGGUCCAAGUUGGUCCCUGGACACAUACAACCACAUGGACACAUACAGUAACAAUUAGUGUUUGUUGCUACAGUACUCGUCAAGUGUUAGCAAAAUGCUAAUACACAUAUGAUGUUACAUCAACCUUGGGCACAUGGAAAAAUACAUGUUAGGAUUCUGUUAUCAUUUACAUGACUGGUCUCUUGGGAAGUCAAUGUCUGUUUCCACACUAUUUACAAAAUCGAUAUUAAAAUUAGACAUAGGUAUUUCCCUCCCUCCUACACAUAUGUAAUAUCAGAUGUAAGCACAGCAAUGUUUUGCAUUUUAGUUAAUCGUUACCAUGCACUCUCACCUCCUCAUGUUUGCACUGUUCAAUAAGUCUGCUGUGCACUCAAACAGGUCUGCUUGACUGCUAGAUAUGCUAGAACAUGUAAAUAGAACAUUCUGCUGUUUUGUCCAAAGUAACGACCUUCUUGGGAAGCUUGAAUACACAUGGCUGAGCUCUCCAAUUCCUGAUUCAAAAUAAAUACACAUCCACAGCCAGGUAGGUUAUGACCAUUUGGAAUUAAGAAUGUGUUAUACUUCUCCCUUUAAGGUUUUCACUGUUGAGCUGCAAGUGUACUGUGUGGAGAAUGUAGCUAUAAGCUAAUUGUGAUUCAUUCAUUGGUGAUAAGAAGUUGGCUGAGAUAUUGUAACAAAAAUACAUUGAUCAUUAAAAACAGCUACAUUUGUAUGAUUUUAAAAUAUGAUUAUUGGGCACCCUGAAUGUGUUAUUUUUGGUUUUGUUGACCUUAUAGCUUCAGAGCCAUGGUGUGGGUGAAAAGUGAGGUGAUUCUAUCCGUCUACAUCAUCCUGAUGGGCCUGCCUGCCAACAUCCUGGCACUCUACGCCUUCAGCGUCAAGAUCCACAACAAACCCACUCCCACAGACAUCCUCCUGCUCAACCUGAUUGUGUCCAACCUCCUCUUUCUUCUCUUCCUGCCUCUCAAGAUGUACGAGGCAGCCUCCGGCAUGCUGUGGAACCUGCCCGAGUUCCUCUGCUCCAUCACUUCCUACACCUUCUUCUCCACUAUCUACACCAGUUCUCUCCUGUUGAUGGCUGUCAGUGUGGUCCGUUACCUGGCGGUGGCCUAUCCCAUCGCCUACCACAAACUUCACAAACCUUUCUAUUCUGUGGUGGCCAGCACAAUCAUCUGGCUUCUCUCCACCGCCCACUGCAGCAUCGUGUUCAUCAUCCAGCACCAUCCGGACCUCUCCCCAAGCAACACCUCCGUCUGCUACGAGGACUUCACCGAACAACAGCUGGCCAUCCUCCUCCCGGCUCCAGCCCCUCGUGGAGGUACUACACCCUGCUGCUCAGCGCCUUCAACACCUGCCUGGACCCUAUCAUCUUCUACUUCUUCUCCUCUGCUUUCCGCAUCACUACCAAGAUGGCCAUCUGCAAGAUGCUGGGACUGCGACAGGGUCAGGCUGCAGUCCAAAGGGAAAGCACAAUAGCCAAUAUGGGCCAAGAGUAGAAAAUGUAAUCACCUUACUCCAAGGUGCCUUUUGGGUAGUUUUGUCAAAAAUAACUAUUCAUUUCACCAAUUGUUUUAAUUCUAUCAUAAAGAGCAAAUGUUCAACUUCAUUCAAAAAAACACGUUUUCCCAUCUCAAGAGGUUCAAUUAAGAAGAAUAACUAUACAAAUUCAAAUUCAAGUGACAGGAUUGACUGUAAUAGGGUUAACAAUGUUAUCUUAAAUCCGCCAUAACUCCCUUUGUGACAGGGUGAAUGGAAGCAUGUUGUGUACAGCAGCGGGAGGCAAUUGCAAUGCAAGUCCAACAAAAACAUUUCUAGUAACUUGUUGAAAACAUUUCUAGCCUAUCUAUCUAUGGGUAACACAGGGUUGAUGGGUUAUUAUCGACGUGUUUUCCAGCACAAAGCAAAUGGCCUAAAAAAGUAGAACCAGCUCACCUGCUUUUACACUAUGAUAUGGCUAUAUUACCAGAUGGUAAGUUUUUCUUUGGAUUCAAUCAUUUAAAAACUAAUAGUUUUACCAUAUUAAAACGUGAGUUCAGGUCAUGUUACAGGGUUAACAUAAACCUGAGGGACAAAUGUAAAUGAAUCAUUAAAUAAGUAGGAAUCCUCAGACAUUACUUUCCUAAAGUAACAAAAUAACUUGGACUUGUAGAUAUGUUUCGUAGAAGGUGAACAAAGACGACAAUGGACAUGCCAAAUGGGGAUUUUCAGAGAGAAACAAAUACCUUACUUUAAUGAAAACACACUGCUAUUAGAAUGUGUAAAUAAAUACAAAUGAAAAAAGGCUUGGCUUAGUUAAAGCAUAGAUGCAUGUGAUUCCAUUGAAAUGACAAAAGGCACUCUAUUCGUGGAGAGACCUAGCUAUGUGCGGUAUAUUUCAAGAUAAUAUGUAGUUUGUGUUUUACACAUUUCUGUGAACUGUACCUUUCUUGCCAAAGUCAUUCAUAUUUUAAUGUUCAAAUGUUUUACAUUCCAUUUACAAAAGUGCGCACUUCAUACAUGAUUCAUUUGUUUCAUCACAGUAGCUUCUGUUACCCUUUUGAAUUGCACACUAUAUGAAAGCUUGGUUGUUACCCUUUAGAAUUAUGAAUUUGUUUGGUUAGAGUAUGUGCUGUGUUACCCAUUUUAAUUGACACAUAUUGCUAAAUAUUUUCUACCUCCAUUUGUAUUGGCAUGAAUCAGUUACACAUUUGUGUUGCAAAGACCUUUCUGUAUUCAAGAGUUUCAAGGCUGAAUGUAACAAAGAGUAUAAAUGUUUUACUGCUAAAGAGAGUUAUAGCUUUAUUAAAAUGACACAUAAACUGCUCAGGCAGAAUCAAA